UACGUAGGGGGCAAGCGUUGUCCGGAUUUACUGGGCUUAAAGAGUUCGUAGGCGGCGCAGCAAGUAGGGUGUGAAAGCCCACGGCUCAACCGUGGAGGGUCAUUGGAAACUGGGGGACUUGAGUACAGAAGAGAAGAGUGGAAUUCCACGUGUAGCGGUGAAAUGCUUAGAUAUCGUCAAGAACACCGAUAGUGUAGACAGCUAACUAAGCUUUAACUGACGCUGAGGCACGAAAGUGUGGGGAUCAAACAGG
rnacentral:rRNA from 1 species